GUUGAAGAUGGGAUCAAUUUUUUGUUUCGGGC
rnacentral:scRNA from 1 species